UACGUAGGGGGCUAGCGUUGUCUGGAAUCAUUGGGCGUAAAGCGCGCGUAGGCGGCCCGGUAAGUCCGCUGUGAAAGUCAAAGGCUCAACCUUUGAAUGUCAGCGGAUACUGCCGGGCUAGAGUCCGGAAGAGGAGAGUGGAAUUCCUGGUGUAGCGGUGAAAUGCGCAGAUAUCAGGAAGAACACCAAUGGCGAAGGCAGCUCUCUGGGACGGUACUGACGCUGAGACGCGAAAGCGUGGGGAGCGAACAGG
rnacentral:rRNA from 1 species